rnacentral:rRNA from 1 species
GCUGCCUGUUGCCACCCACGAGAGGUGGGGACUCAGGCGGGACCGCCGGUGACAAACCGGAGGAAGGUGGGGACGACGUCAAGUCAUCAUGGCCCUUAUGUCCUGGGCUACACACGUGCUACAAUGGCCGGUACAGAGCGCAGCGAGGCCGCGAGGCGGAGCGAAUCGCUUAAAGCCGGUCCCAGUACGGAUUGGAGUCUGCAACCCGACUCCAUGAAAUUGGAAUCGCUAGUAAUCGCGCAUCAGCAUGGCGCGGUGAAUACGUUCCCGGGCCUU